GAUAAACAUGUCUCAAGAUGUUAGAGUAAAGGAGAAAAACACCAUCACAUAGAAUGUCUCUCAGGAGUACUGACACAUUUUCCUUGUGUCGCAUGUCAGAGUCCAUGUAGAGAAUAUGUUGUGUUGUAAACUCAUGAUGAUCUGUUCACUGUACCCUGUCAACGGCCUUGCAUAGAAAUGCAGUGUGUUUGGAUAUACUGAGAAAGCUGCUUGCAAAUAGAUCUAAGAGCCUAAUGAGAUUGACCAGCCUCUAAAACUGGAUGCAACAAAAUCUGAUUGAAUAUCUAUGGAUUGCACCACAGAGAGAUACAUCUAUUGUGAUUCAAUCCUACAAUCCACUGGAUGCAAAGGAUCCUGCUGCCAUUGUCACGAUCCAAGACACCACAGGAGCUUCCAGUAUACAAACAGCUCAAGACUGCUGGCGUAACAUCGGGGAGAAAUUCUGGGCAUGCGGUGGUCGGCAGGUCGCUGUGAACACCUAACCAACACAUAAGGUGGACAUAUGAAGCUCAAGGGAACAGCAAGACUCCUGCGCUCUUCUUAAAAUGUAGACCCUUCUGUCUACAACCCUUUGAGCAUAGACAACACAAAAAUCUGCAGUACCUGUAUGGGUCGACCACUGUAUGUGUCCAAGUAUCCUUGUAGCUGCCCUUCUUCUUCAACUUCCUCCAUUCUCCUCAGCCUCUAGGUCUUUCUUUCUGUCCAACAUGAUAAAUUAAGCCUAAAUAAACUUGUUCAUCUUUCAAUUAGAGCCAGUGUUCAAGAGGUGCCAGCCAUCAUGAAGCUAUCUGGCAAACUCGGAGCUAUAGUAAUUAGAGGAAAAACAGAAAAAUGGAAUGAGAUAGAGCUUUUGUAAAAGGGGAGUGAUGAAAUGAUGUUUAGGAUAGGACAGAGCAGGAAAUAAACUAGAAAUGAAUGCAUAAACACGCAGUCGCUCUGUACAGUACGUGUAGGAAUGAAACAUCUUAGCUAAGGAAGCAGAUCCCACAUUUCCUAUAUCUGUCUUGCGCCUCCUUCUGAAAAGUACUCCAGUCUCUAGGUGACAACUCAGAGCCUUGCUCCCCUCCUCAUCAUCUAACAUUCUCUUAAACACAACAUUGCCUUUACUGAUUACACAAUUUCUUUUGUUUUGUUGUCUCUCAAUGUUUUGAGUCUGAUUACUGUUUUCCUGAGACGCCUAGAAAUAUAAUUAGAUUCUCGUGGCACAUAGAUGUGUGUGUUGCUCUCAGAUAACAAUGUCAAAAUCUUCAGCAGUUUACAUGAGUGGCCACAAACCCUUCAGUUAGACGUCCGAUGGGCCUCAAAUUAAUUCUGCGGCUUUACAACCAGCCCUGACAGACAGCCGCAGAGACCCAGUGGAAGUGACAACAAAACCAAGGAGUCCUGCAACAGAUGGCCCCUUCAGAGCCCUGACGUCAAAAUCACUGAGUCACUCGGGGGAUUACGCUGAGCCUAACUGAAGCUGUUUGAAUUGUCCACUCAUUUCCUCUGUAGUACACUACAAAGGGAGUCAAAAUAUUUUUGUGCUUUUAAAAGUUCCAGAUAAAGCUUUUCAAUGGAAGUAGUGUUUAUAAAUUACAGACAUCUGCUGUUCAAAAACACAUGUUUAGUCAUCCUUACAUCAGUAGUGAUAAUCAAGAGACAAUUGUCAUCAGUGGGGGAGGUAGUCUAGCAGUCGCACAUGAACUUUGGCAAAGAAUUUGAGUUGCAUCAACCAAUCAGGGAGUCAGCUUUUGCAGCGUCACAUUUUGAUAAUGAUCAGUGGGUGCAGUCCAAAACCAAUAUGAAGGAGAGUCUGAUCAUCGCCCUCCUGAACUUAAUAUAUUUUUUAUUUGCAUCAAGACAAGAGCAUAAAAAUACUCUUAUUGUAUUCUUUUUUCCUCCUUGUGUGAGGAAAAAAUGCGAGACAGGAAGUUGUCAAACUGGGUCACAGAGAGACGAAAGUACCGCUGAAAGCAUCUGUCGUACAGACUCCCGUCGUUGAUGGUGAAUCUCAUCGUACUGGAAGAAUCUAUGAAUUAUUUCAUGAACACAUUUUUCACAAAUGUCUUAGCGAAUUUAAUAUAUAUCAAAAAUGAGGCAGCUGAGGCGAAUUUGAUGUGCAAAUCGCAUUCCUUGUAA